rnacentral:rRNA from 1 species
GACGAACGCUGGCGGCGUGCCUAACACAUGCAAGUCGAGCGAGUGAAUCUCCUUCGGGAGUGAAGCUAGCGGCGGACGGGUGAGUAACACGUGGGCAACCUGCCUCAUAGAGGGGAAUAGCCUUUCGAAAGGAAGAUUAAUACCGCAUAAGAUUGUAGCUUCGCAUGAAGUAGCAAUUAAAGGAGUAAUCCGCUAUGAGAUGGGCCCGCGGCGCAUUAGCUAGUUGGUGAGGUAACGGCUCACCAAGGCGACGAUGCGUAGCCGACCUGAGAGGGUGAUCGGCCACAUUGGGACUGAGACACGGCCCAGACUCCUACGGGAGGCAGCAGUGGGGAAUAUUGCACAAUGGGGGAAACCCUGAUGCAGCAACGCCGCGUGAGUGAUGACGGCCUUCGGGUUGUAAAGCUCUGUCUUCAGGGACGAUAAUGACGGUACCUGAGGAGGAAGCCACGGCUAACUACGUG